CAAUAGCGUAUAUUUAAGUUGCUGCAGUUAAAAAGCUCGUAGUUGGAUUUCGGGUGGGAAUGGCCGGUCCGCCGUUUCGGUGUGCACUUGCUACGCCCACCUUGCUGCCGGGGACGUGCUCUUGAGUUCACGCUCGGGACACGGAGUCGGCGAGGUUACUUUGAGUAAAUUAGAGUGUUCAAAGCAGGCCUACGCUCUGAAUACAUUAGCAUGGAAUAACACGAUAGGACUCUGGCCUAUCUUGUUGGUCUGUAGGACCGGAGUAAUGAUUAAGAGGGACAGUCGGGGGCAUUCGUAUUUCAUUGUCAGAGGUGAAAUUCUUGGAUUUAUGAAAGACGAACUACUGCGAAAGCAUUCGCCAUGGAUGUUUUCAUUAA
rnacentral:rRNA from 1 species